rnacentral:misc_RNA from 1 species
CCAGCUGCUGCUGCAGGAGGACGCCGCCGUUCUGCUCGAAGAACCGCCGCUUCGCCUGGAGCAGCCGCCGCUUCUGAACCCACAGGUGCGAGGAGAAGCUCGCCAGCAGCAGCAGCAACACGCCCGCACUGACGCCCGUGACGAUCUUCAGUGGCAAACCGAAUUUGUUGUCGUCGUCUCGGCGGCAGCCAUCCUGUACAGUGGCGUUCCCACUGGACCCAUUGGGACAUGUGCAGAGGAAGCUUCCCGGCGUGUUGACGCACACGCCGUAGCACGGAAACUCGUCCCUGUGCCGGCACUCGUCGACGUCCGUGCAGCCGUCGGUCACGUAUGGGUUGCCCUGGUACCCGCCGGUGCAGUUGCAGACGUACCCGGGGCCGUUGCUGGACUCGAGGCAGACG